AAUUCUCAAAAUCCCUUUUCUUCUGGAAAAGGUUUUUUGGACUUGGAGGUUCAAUGCUCGCCUUCACCUUUGAAGGUGAGCUCCUCUCAAAUGAAUUAGUGGGGUCUGCUCUGCCGGUCCUUGACGUGAUAAAAUGUUUCUACGUUUUGGAUUUGGCACUGUCUCUUGGACCCCUGCUCCUAACCGUCUCAUGGACAAAUGAUGGUGCUUCUUCGGUCACCGCCGUUGGCGGGAGGCUGGGCCCACGGAAAAAC
rnacentral:misc_RNA from 1 species